CCCGGCGACCGGCGCACGGGUGAGUAACACGUAUGGAACCUGCCCGCAGCAGGGGGAUAAGCGGAAGAAAUUCCGUCUAAUACCGCGUAACACCGCAGAGGGGCAUCCCUCGGCGGUUAAAGAUUCAUCGGCUGCGGAUGGCCAUGCGGCGCAUUAGCUAGUCGGCGGGGUAACGGCCCACCGAGGCGACGAUGCGUAGGGGUUCUGAGAGGAACGGUCCCCCACACUGGUACUGAGACACGGACCAGACUCCUACGGGAGGCAGCAG
rnacentral:rRNA from 1 species